rfam:Gossypium raimondii Chr11_contig_151, whole genome shotgun sequence.
AUCCUUUUCUCUACCUUUUGGCUAAGAUCAAGAGUAGUAUCUGUUUCUAUCAGUUUAAUAUCUGAUACGUCCCCACUGCGUUCGCGCAACCCCUAUCAAUUUCAAGUUACGAAAAGUAAUUGGUAACCAUUUGUAGGAUAUAAUUAUUUUUUCCAUAUGGGUAAACAGCUUCAAAAGCUGUUAUUAUAUGCUCUCUC